rnacentral:rRNA from 1 species
GACGAACGCUGGCGGCGUGCCUAAUACAUGCAAGUCGAGCGGACCAAAGGGAGCUUGCUCCUGGAGGUUAGCGGCGAACGGGUGAGUAACACGUGGGCAACCUGCCUGUAAGACUGGGAUAACAUCGAGAAAUCGGUGCUAAUACCGGAUAAUAAAAAGAACUGCAUGGUUCUUUUUUGAAAGAUGGUUUCGGCUAUCACUUACAGAUGGGCCCGCGGCGCAUUAGCUAGUUGGUGAGGUAACGGCUCACCAAGGCAACGAUGCGUAGCCGACCUGAGAGGGUGAUCGGCCACACUGGGACUGAGACACGGCCCAGACUCCUACGGGAGGCAGCAGUAGGGAAUCUUCCGCAAUGGACGAAAGUCUGACGGAGCAACGCCGCGUGAGUGAUGAAGGUUUUCGGAUCGUAAAACUCUGUUGUUAGGGAAGAACAAGUGCCGUUCGAAAGGGCGGCACCUUGACGGUACCUAACGAGAAAGCCACGGCUAACUACGUGCCAGCAGCCGCGGUAA